CGGGCGGCGCUCCGCUCUUAUGGCUUCAGCGGCUCCUGCCGCUUUCUAUGCACGUGCACGUAUUUUCGUGCGCUCUGGAGUUUAAAGCUUUCUUUCUGUGCCUAGAAAUGUUCCGGCAAUCUAGGGAAAACUGAGGAAGGGUAACAACGCUUAGCUGCGCGGCUGUGUGAAGUGGCAAUCCAGGGAGCAACAAAAGGGCGAAAUUUUUCCGCUUUCCAGCGGAUGAGAGAUGUGACAUAUGGCGAAAUGACCCUAAAGGAGGAGUCCUAGGGGCUGGGGGCUGGGGCUGAGAUGGGAGCAGAUGUAUAACGGCUACGGCCUCUGCUCGGACCACUUCACGGAAAAGGACUACGCCGACCCUGUCGUGGUUGGCUGCGCCGACUAUUGGAGCGAAAGAGUGGUACCUUAUCGAUGAAGGUUCUACACUGGAGCAGCGAGGCCAAAUGCGAAAAAUAUACUCACCAGAGACCGCAGGUGUCAUCAACAGACUGAGAGAUGAUACACAAAGUGCCAGGUGACGAUCCAUUCUCGCAAGAGGAAGAGAAGGACAUGGAUAUAUUUUUUCCGGAGCACGUUGGUGUGGGCAGUGUACCCUCCUGAACAUCGCCGUUGUGUCCGCCGUGGUCUGCCUGGCUGUCGCUGGGCCUGCGCCCAAGAAAGGCGCCCCAGUAGCAGCACCAGCUGCAGGCAAGGAAGAGAAGAUUGAAGCACGAGGUGGUUUUUUCGGUGGCCCUGUUGGACACGGAGGUGGCUACGGAGGAGGCGCCGCCCAUGGCCACGCCGCGGGCGGCCACCAAGGUGGCUUCGCCACUGGCGCCCAGGGCUACAACCAGGGAUCCGCUGGCUUUGCAGGUGGCGAAUCAGUUAGGAACGUGCAAGGCUACAACAACCAAAUGGGUUACAGCUCUAACACUGGCUUCUCGAAGACCGACUCAAACCGCCACGGAGCUGGUUUCGGCCAGCACUCGGGAGGCUUCGCCGGCGGAGCCGCUGGUCAACAGGCUGGUUUUGGCCAGACUGGCUUCGGACAAGCCGGCGGAAUUGGCCACUAGUAGCACAGGCGCAAGAUCUAGUCGCACGGCUCACAUCUAAACCCGUGUUCAAGCUGGAAAACAUAAUUUCUUGUACAAAUAUUGUGAAUAAAUUAUCAAUAUUUUGCUUUCAA